rnacentral:lncRNA from 1 species
AUCUUCUCAGUAUUGGAAAGAAGUGGCAGAACAACGGAGGAAAGCUCUCUAUGAAGCACUUACGGAGAACGAGAAACUUCAUAAAGAAAUUGAGCAGAAGGACAGUGAGAUUGCCCGCCUGAGAAAGGAGAAUAAAGACCUGGCAGAAGUGGCUGAGCACGUACAGUACAUGGCAGAGGUAAUCGAGGUAGGCUCUCCUACAUUCAUGGCUUUGGUCAGUGGCCGAGUUGUGAUCAGCGAGUGUUCAGCCCUGCGAUGUGAUUCCCAGUGCCACUAAGGUUUGGUUAGAGCGGUUAUUUAUCAUGUCAGGGUUUCAUUUUCCUUUCCUAUAAACUGGGAGCGAAAUGCCCAUGUCUGAAAAA